CACGUAGGGUGCGAGCGUUGUCCGGAAUUAUUGGGCGUAAAGAGCUCGUAGGCGGUUUGUCGCGUCUGCUGUGAAAUCCCUCGGCUCACCCGAGGAACCGCACUCGAUACUGUCGGGCUGGAGUCCGGGAGGGGAUGGUGGAAUUCCCAGUGUAGCGGUGAAAUGCGUAGAUAUUGGGAAGAACACCGGUGGCGAAGGCGGCCAUCUGGACCGGUACUGACGCUGAGGCGCGAAAGCUAGGGGAGCGAAUGGG
rnacentral:rRNA from 1 species